GACGAACGCUGGCGGCGUGCCUAAUACAUGCAAGUCGAACGCUGAAGCUUGGUGCUUGCACCGAGCGCAUGAGUUGCGAACGGGUGAGUAACGCGUAGGUAACCUGCCUGGUAGCGGGGGAUAACUACUGGAAACGAUAGCUAAUACCGCAUAAGAGUAGAUGUUGCAUGACUUUUGCUUAAAAGGUGCAAUUGCAUCACUACCUGGUGGACUUGGUGUGUAUUAGCUAGUUGGUAAGGUAACGGCUCACCAAGGCAACGAUCCGUAGCCGACCUGAGAGGUUGAUCGGCCACACUGGAAUGGGGCACCGGCCAAGACUCUUACGGGAGGCACCAGUGGGGAACUUGCGGCAAUGGGGGAAAUCCUGACGAAGAAAGGCGGCGUGGGGGAGGAAGGUUUUCGGACCGUAAGCUCGGUUUUUAGGGGAGAAAGAGUUUUGUAGUGGAAAGUGCACGCUUUGACGGUACCUAACCAGAAAGCGACGGCUAACUACGUG
rnacentral:rRNA from 1 species